rnacentral:rRNA from 1 species
CCUACGGGUGGCAGCAGUGAGGAAUAUUGGUCAAUGGGCGCGAGCCUGAACCAGCCAAGUCGCGUGAAGGAUGACGGUCCUACGUGUUGUAAACCUCUUUUGUCAAGGAAUAAAGUGAGGCACGUGUGCCUUUUUGUAUGUACUUUAUGAAUAAGGAUCGGCUAACUCCGUGCCAGCAGCCGCGGUAAUACGGAGGAUCCGAGCGUUAUCCGGAUUUAUUGGGUUUAAAGGGAGCGGAGAUGGGUUGUUAAGUCAGUUGUGAAAGUUUGGGGCUCAACCGUAAAAUUGCAAUUGAUACUGGCAGUCUUGAGUACAGGUGAGGUAGGCGGAAUGCGCGGUGUAGCGGUGAAAUGCUUAGAUAUCACGAAGAACUCCGAUUGCGAAGGCAGCUUACUAGAUUGCCACUGACGCUGAUGCUCGAAAGUGUGGGUAUCAAACAGGAUUAGAUACCCGUGUAGUC